AUACGUAGGGGGCGAGCGUUGUCCGGAAUGACUGGGCGUAAAGGGCGCGUAGGCGGCGCGGUAAGUCUGGAGUGAAAGUCCUGCUUUCAAGGUGGGAAUUGCUUUGGAUACUGCCGCGCUUGAGUGCAGGAGAGGUUAUCGGAAUUCCCGGUGUAGCGGUGAAAUGCGUAGAGAUCGGGAGGAACACCAGUGGCGAAGGCGGGUAACUGGACUGCAGCUGACGCUGAGGCGCGAAAGUGUGGGGAGCAAACAGGAUUAGAUACCCUGGUAGUCCACACUGUAAACGAUGAAUGCUAGGUGUAAGAGGUAUCGACCCCUUUUGUGCCGGAGUCAACACAAUAAGCAUUCCGCCUGGGGAGUACGGCCGCAAGGUUGAAACUCAAAUGAAUUGACGGGG
rnacentral:rRNA from 1 species